AUACGUAGGGUGCAAGCGUUAAUCGGAAUUACUGGGCGUAAAGCGUGCGCAGGCGGUUCGGAAAGAAGGAUGUGAAAUCCCAGGGCUCAACCUUGGAACUGCAUUCUUAACUACCGAACUAGAGUAUGUCAGAGGGGGGUAGAAUUCCGCGUGUAGCAGUGAAAUGCGUAGAUAUGCGGAGGAAUACCGAUGGCGAAGGCAGCCCUCUGGGAUAAUACUGACGCUCAUGCACGAAAGCGUGGGUAGCAAACAGGAUUAGAUACCCUGGUAGUCCACGCCCUAAACGAUGUCAACUAGCUGUUGGGCCCUUCGGGGCUUAGUAGCGUAGCUAACGCGUGAAGUUGACCGCCUGGGGAGUACGGUCACAAGAUUAAAACUCAAAUGAAUUGACGGGG
rnacentral:rRNA from 1 species